CCUGCCUGGGUCGGGUUUCUGUUCCUCAGCAACAGGAGCAAACAGACACCCCGUGGGGAGAGAGAGAGAGAGAGAUAUGCAACUGUCCACUGUCCAUCUCUGACAUCUUGAACUACCCAGGAUGUCUGGACCAGGACUGGCUAUCCGUCUCCAUGAGUUUAGCAGAGAGGAAGCUGGACAGCAGUGAGUUACACCAGCUGUCCAAGAAAGCAGUGAGACAAGGGAGGGAUGUUAGAGGCAUGUAUCCAGGACAACUAGGAAGAGUUCACACCCUACACUCACCCAGUCACAGGGUGAGGUUUGCAACCCUAGAGUUCCCCUGCCGAGGGGGUGGUGAGCAAGAUCAACACCUGCGGAACUUCGACCUGCUGGCCUGUCAGGCAGUGGCCUUGGCACCAUCCAGCACUGCUGCCAUGACAUCCUAUCAGGACCAGUUUGGCACAUGGUCAGGUCUCUAUGCCCCUGAUGAGACCAAGUAUACGCUGCACUCCCACCCACAACCCUUGCAAGUCACUGAACAGAGAGUGACAACAUCUCCAUCCCAAACACAACGUCAGCUCGAUUUAGUUUCCUGCUCGAUUUGCCUGACUUGACUGGCAUCUUUGAUAACCUCUGGGCAUGGAUAAACACUUUUUUUUGUGACCUCAUAGAUUACUGAGGCAUAUCAACACUUCCAAAGCAAAUACAGGAGUGAAUGGGUGGCUUUCAUCAGGUCAUGUGAUUGUGAAACCAGAAAACUAAUCUCAUGACUACAGUGUUACUAGCAACUUGACCUAUGACCCCAGCAACAUCGUCAAAUGUCUCUUAGCUGGUCACCUAGACGGGUUGGAUGACGCAAUGUGUAUUUAUCAACCAUUGAUAAUGGUAAAUAAAACCAUUAUUUCAUAUUUUCACAGAUGUUUGAUAGACAGAAACUGCUUAAGAAGGCAUUUAAGUAUUACAUUUUACUACAAAAUUAUGUAAAAGCAUCCUCAGUAUCCUCACAAUCCUCCGAUGAUCUCUUCAUCAAAUCUUCAAAACAUAUCUGUAUCUAUUCAUAUCCAUAUGCACACAUUGCACACCCUCAUUCAUUGGCACCCCUGGUAAAGCUCAGUAAAAAGAGGCAUACAAAGUCACCUUUUCAAAACAGUUUAACGGCAAUUUAACAGGAUUAACUGAAACUGGAAAAGAUACUCAUUGCAUUGUCUUAGUGUAGUGCAUUAUGUACAGAUCAAAUACCAGAACAUCAAAAUGGUUUGCAAGAACUAGGAUGAGGCUGUUGUUUGUUUAUAACUGGCUUUGUCCAGGAAAUGGAUUUUAAAGUAGUAGUAGAGGGUAUUGUGUUAUCAGAUAAAAAUAGAAUGUGUCUUUAUGAUGUGUAUCUCUUAG